UUAUAAAUUUAAUUAUUAUUAUUGAUUUUUUAAAGUAUUAUUUUAUUUAUUAUUAUAAAAGAAAAAUUAAUUUUUUAUUAUAGUUUACUAGUAAAGUGAUUGAAUUUAUUUAUAUAUUAAUAAGAAAAAUUUAUUUUUUGUACCUUGUGUAUCAGGAUUGAUUAAUUUUAUAAUUAUUAUUAAUUUUUCUCGAAUUAAGAAGAGCUAAUUAUGUAUAUGUUUAAUUUUUUCAUAAAUUUUCAUAAUAUAUAAUUUGAAAUGAAAUGUUACUCGUUUCUUAAUAUAUCUAGUUUUUUAAGAAAAGAAUUUAAUUCUCUUAUUAUUUAUUAUUAGUUAAUUUUUAGUUAAUAAUUUUUAGUAUGAAAUAAAUAAAGGGAUAAGCUUUUAUUUUAAUAAUUAAAAAUUUAUUUGAUUUUAUUUUUUGUAUAAUUUAAAUUGUUAAUCAUUUUUAUAAUAUAAUAGUUAAUUUUAUUUAAUUAAUGAUUUAUAUUUAUUUUAAUUUUUUUAUUAAAAAUUUAUGUUUAAUUUUUUAGCUUUAUUUAUAAUGAUUAAAUUAGUAGAUAAAUAUGUAUUUUAUUAUUUAUUUUUAAGAUAAUAAAAAGGAACUCGGCAAAUAAAUUUUUCGCCUGUUUAUUAAAAACAUGUCUUUUUGAUUAUAAUUUAAGGUUUAAUCUGCUCAAUGAUUUAUUAAAUUGCCGCAGUAUUUUGACUGUGCAAAGGUAGCAUAAUAAUUAGCUUUUUUAUUGAGAGCUGGAAUGAAUGAUUGGACGAAAAAAUUUCUGUCUCUUUAUUAUUUAUUAUUUAAUUUUACUUUUAAGUUAAAAGGCUUAAAUUUUUUUAAAAGACGAGAAGACCCUAUAGAGUUUUAUUUUUAUUUUUUGAUUGAUUUUUAGAAUUUAAAAUAUUUUAUAAAAUAAAAAAUUUAGUUGGGGUGACUGAAAGAUUAAUUAAACUCUUUUAAUUGAAAUCAUUUAUUUAUGAAUAGAGAAAUUAUUUUUAUAAAUUUAAAAUAAAUUACCUUAGGGAUAACAGCGUUAUUUUUCUUUAGAGUUCUUAUUGAAAGGAAAGAUUGCGACCUCGAUGUUGGAUUAAAAUUUAUUUUUGGUGUAGAAGCUUAAAUAUUAAGUCUGUUCGACUUUUAAAAUUUUACAUGAUCUGAGUUUAAACCGGUGUAAGCCAGGUUGGUUUCUAUCUUUAAAUUUUUAAUAUAUUUUAGUACGAAAGGACCAAAUAUAUAAUAUAUUAUUUUAUUUUGAAUAAUAUU
rnacentral:rRNA from 1 species